CACGUAGGACGCGAGCGUUGUCCGGAAUUAUUGGGCGUAAAGAGCUCGUAGGCGGCCUGUUGCGUCCGCUGUGAAAGCCCGGGGCUUAACCCCGGGUCUGCAGUGGAUACGGGCAGGCUAGAGGUAGGUAGGGGAGAAUGGAAUUCCCGGUGUAGCGGUGAAAUGCGCAGAUAUCGGGAGGAACACCGGUGGCGAAGGCGGUUCUCUGGGCAUUACCUGACGCUGAGGAGCGAAAGUGUGGGGAGCGAACAGG
rnacentral:rRNA from 1 species